rnacentral:rRNA from 1 species
UACAGAGGUGGCAAGCGUUGUUCGGAAUUACUGGGCGUAAAGGGCGCGUAGGUGGCCUUCUUAGUCAGACGUGAAAUCCCCGGGCUCAACCCGGGAACUGCGUCCGAUACUGGAAGGCUUGAAUCCGGGAGAGGGAUGCGGAAUUCCAGGUGUAGCGGUGAAAUGCGUAGAUAUCUGGAGGAACACCGGUGGCGAAGGCGGCAUCCUGGACCGGCAUUGACGCUGAGGCGCGAAAGCCAGGGGAGCAAACGGG